rnacentral:rRNA from 1 species
AGAGUGCGUAAUAGCUCACUGGUCAAGUGGUUCUGCGCCGACAAUGUAGCGGGGCUCAAGCGCACCGCCGAAGCCGUGGCAGCAGCGCUUUUCGCCCUCCUCCCCCCUGUUGGAUGGGGUGGUGGGUGCGCUGCUGGGUAGGGGAGCGUCCUGCGCGGGGCGAAGCCCGGGGGUGACCCCUGGUGGACCGCGUGGGAGUGAGAAUGCAGGCAUGAGUAACGAAUUCUGCGGUGGGAAUCCGCAGCGCCGAUUGACUAAGGGUUCCAGGGCCAGGUUCAUCCGCCCUGGGUUAGUCGGGUCCUAAGGCGAGGCCGACAGGCGUAGUCGAUGGUCGACCAGUUGAUAUUCUGGUACCGCGCGGCGACCGCCAGUGCCGAUACCGCUGUGCUAACCGCCCGCACCGCCCCUCCCGCGCUUUCGGGCGCGGGGGCGGGGGUGUCGCGGGGCCCCGGUGGUGGAGGCAAGCGUGUUGACAGGGGUGACGCAGGAAGGUAGCCGCAAUGCGCCGGUGGUUGUGCGUAUUCAAGGCUGUGGCCCGUCCCCCAGGCAAAUCCGGGGGGCAUGUGGGUGAGGGCUGAGGAGGGACACACGCGUGUGUGGACUUGUGGUGAUCCUAUGCUGCCGAGAAAAACCCCGACGUGAGGGCGCCGCGCGCCCGUACCCCAAACCGACUCAGGUGGUCAGGUAGAGCAUACCGAGGCGUUCGAGUGAAUCAUGGUUAAGGAACUCGGCAAAAUUCCUCCGUAACUUCGGGAUAAGGAGGACCCCUUGGCCUGCUCCCGCCGCGCGCGGGGGCGGGGCCGGGGGGUCGCAGAGAAUAGGGAGAAGCGACUGUUUAUCAAAAACACAGGUGCGUGCGAAGCCGCAAGGCGAUGUAUACGCACUGACGCCUGCCCGGUGCUGGAAGGUCAAGAGGAGCCCUCAGCCCCCCCAGUGGGGGCGAAGGGGCGAAUUCAAGCCCCAGUAAACGGCGGUGGUAACUAUAACCAUCCUAAGGUAGCGAAAUUCCUUGUCGGGUAAGUUCCGACCUGCACGAAUGGCGUAACGACUUCUCCGCUGUCUCAACCGUGAACUCGGUGAAAUUGCAGUACGAGUAAAGAUGCUCGUUUCGCGCAGAAGGACGGAAAGACCCCGGGACCUUUACUAUAGCUUGGUAUUGGUGUCCGCUUGUGCUUGUGUAGGAUAGGUGGGAGACUGUGAAGCGGCCGCGCCAGCGGUGGUGGAGUCGUCGUUGAAAUACCAUUCUGGUUCAAGCGGGCGCCUGAACCUGGGCCCGUGAUCCGGGCCGGGGACAGUGCCUGGUGGGUAGUUUAACUGGGGCGGUUGCCUCCUAAAAGGUAACGGAGGCGCUCAAAGGUCCCCUCAGCCUGGUUGGCAAUCAGGUGGCGAGUGCAAGUGCACAAGGGGGCUUGACUGUGAGACCGACGGGUCGAGCAGGUGCGAAAGCAGGAACUAGUGAUCCGGCCAUGGCACGUGGGUGCGUGGUCGCUCAACGGAUAAAAGGUACCCCGGGGAUAACAGGCUGAUCUUGCCCAAGAGUCCAUAUCGACGGCAUGGUUUGGCACCUCGAUGUCGGCUCGUCGCAUCCUGGGGCUGGAGUAGGUCCCAAGGGUUGGGCUGUUCGCCCAUUAAAGCGGUACGCGAGCUGGGUUCAGAACGUCGUGAGACAGUUCGGUCCCUAUCCUCUGCGCGCGCAGGAAACUUGAUGGAGGGCCGUCCCCAGUACGAGAGGACCGGGAUGGACGAACCUCUGGUGUGCCAGUUGUACCGCCAGGUGCACGGCUGGUUGGCCACGUUCGGAAAGGAUAACCGCUGAAAGCAUCUAAGCGGGAAGCCCGCUCCGAGAUGAGGUUUCCACGCCCCCACACGGGGUGAGAGGCCCCCGCCAGAACAGCGGGUCGAUAGGCCAGAGGUGGAAGCGCCGCGAGGCGCUCGCGAGCCGACUGGUACUAAUGGGCCGACACCACACCA